rnacentral:rRNA from 1 species
UACGUAGGUGGCAAGCGUUGUCCGGAUUUACUGGGCGUAAAGGGCGUGCAGGCGGUUUGUUAAGUUCAGGGUGAAAGCUCCCGGCUCAACUGGGAGAGGUCCUUGGAUACUGGCGGACUUGAGGAGGGUAGAGGAGAGUGGAAUUCCCGGUGUAGUGGUGAUAUGCGUAGAUAUCGGGAGGAACACCAGUGGCGAAGGCGACUACCUGGCCUGUUCUUGACGCUGAGGCGCGAAGGCAUGGGUAGCGAACGGG